rnacentral:rRNA from 1 species
GACAAACCUCUGGUGUAUCUGUUGUUUCGCCAGAAGCAGAGCAGAGUAGCUAAGUUUGGAAGGGAUAAGCGCUGAAGGCAUCUAAGCACGAAGCCCCCCUCAAGAUGAGAUUUCCCACCCGUAAGGGUUAAGACCCCAGAAAGACUAUCUGGUUGAUAGGUCUAAGGUGUAAGUGCAGUAAUGUAUUUAGCUGAUAGAUACUAAUAGGUCGAGGACUUGACCAACUU